UACGUAGGGGGCAAGCGUUGUCCGGAAUUAUUGGGCGUAAAGAGCGUGUAGGCGGUCCGGUAAGUCAGCUGUGAAAGUCAAGGGCUCAACCCUUGAAAGCCGGUUGAUACUGUCGGGCUAGAGUCCGGAAGAGGCGAGUGGAAUUCCCGGUGUAGCGGUGAAAUGCGCAGAUAUCGGGAGGAACACCAAUGGCGAAGGCAGCUCGCUGGGACGGUACUGACGCUGAGACGCGAAAGCGUGGGAGCAACAA
rnacentral:rRNA from 1 species